rnacentral:rRNA from 1 species
CCUACGGGUGGCUGCAGUGGGGAAUAUUGCACAAUGGGGGAAACCCUGAUGCAGCGACGCCGCGUGAGUGAAGAAGUAUCUCGGUACGUAAAGCUCUAUCAGCAGGGAAGAGAAUGACGGUACCUGACUAAGAAGCCCCGGCUAACUACGUGCCAGCAGCCGCGGUAAUACGUAGGGGGCAAGCGUUAUCCGGAUUUACUGGGUGUAAAGGGAGCGUAGACGGCUGAGCAAGUCUGAAGUGAAAGGCGGGGGCCCAACCCCCGGACUGCUUUGGAAACUGUAUAGCUAGAGUGCAGGAGAGGUAAGUGGAAUUCCUAGUGUAGCGGUGAAAUGCGUAGAUAUUAGGAGGAACACCAGUGGCGAAGGCGGCUUACUGGACUGUAACUGACGUUGAGGCUCGAAAGCGUGGGGAGCAAACAGGAUUAGAUACCCCUGUAGUC